rnacentral:rRNA from 1 species
GACAAGGUUUCCGUAGCUGAACCUGCGGAAGGAUCAUUAAUGAAUAUGCUCGAUGGGUUGUUGCUGGUCUCUUGAGACAUGUGCACACCUGUCUUGACUUCUAUUCAUCCACCUGUGCACUUUGCAUGGUCUCCUGAACAGAAAAAUGGGCUUUGACUCAGUUGGUGGGGUUAUUAUAUAUGCCACCUCUGGAAUUGAGACUUGUCUUACAUUGUGAUACUUGUCUCUCCACUGAGCACAUGAAAUUCAGAGACCAUGUCCCUUUAUCACAAACCAAAUAGCAUGUCAUCAGAAUGUGAUCAAUGGGCCAUAAUGCCUAUAUAAUUUUAUACAACUUUCAGCAACGGAUCUCUUGGCUCUCGCAUCGAUGAAGAACGCAGCGAAAUGCGAUAAGUAAUGUGAAUUGCAGAAUUCAGUGAAUCAUCGAAUCUUUGAACGCACCUUGCGCUCCUUGGUAUUCCGAGGAGCAUGCCUGUUUGAGUGUCAGUAAAAUUUCAACCCUUUUCCAGCUUGUCAGCUGGUAAAGAGGCUUGGACUGUGGAGGUUGUGCAGGGCUCAUUUUGAGUUUUCUGCUCCUCUGAAAUACAUUAGCGGAACUGUUUGCAAUCCGUCACAGGUGUGAUAGUUUAUCUACACCAAGAGGGUUGCUCUCUGUCUUGUUCAGCUUAAAACCGUCCGUGAGGACAGACUACUGAAACUUUUGACCUCAAAUCAGGUAGGACUACCCGCUGAACUUAAGCAUAUCU